rnacentral:lncRNA from 1 species
GUCAGAGUCCCAGGGUGCCUCUUACACCCACCCAGGAGGACAGCCAGGGGGUUUCAGAGCUCAGGCAGGCACAGGUGUCAACGUGUCAGGAGGAGCACCAGUUUCAUAGACUAAGAAGACCCCAAGUGGGUCUCUGAGGGGCAAGCCCUCGGCAUAAAGCAGGAAGCAGACAACGGCCUGGUUAGACCUGUGUAGAGAUGUUCAUGGAUUCCAUCUUCUGGUGGUGUUUGCACGCUCCCCUGUAAGGAUCAGAGGGGGAUCCAGAGUUACCUCCCCACGAUGGGCAGAAGCAGGAUAGAGAAGACUUUCAAAAGCAGCCCCUUCUGUGGGAUUAGACAGGCUGGUUCCAAAAUGCACAUGGAAAUGAACGUCCAAGAAGAACAUGGUGGAAGGCUGUGCUCCACCAAGAGUGAGACCUGUUUUAAAGCCGUAAUAAUCAGGCCAGGGGAUGUCAGUGCGGGGAGAGGAAGACAGACUCAGCUCGGCGCAAGACCCACUGGUUCACAGACACAACUUGUGUCUGAAAUGGCCCUGCAGAGCGGGGGAGAAAAGUCUUUCCGAUAAAAGUGCUGGAAACUGGGAAUGCAGCUGGAAACAUAAACUGGUCCCUCUGUGGAACUGACUGUUUCCCACUUUCGUGGUGCCGUGUCCUUUUGCUUUGAAUAGUCUAUGGUGGGUGAUUUUGUACCCGUUCCCUGUCUGGGCCCUGUCGGGACACCUGUCAUUUG